CAGCCGCCGCGGUAAUACGUAGGUCCCGAGCGUUGUCCGGAUUUAUUGGGCGUAAAGCGAGCGCAGGCGGUUAGAUAAGUCUGAAGUUAAAGGCUGUGGCUUAACCAUAGUACGCUUUGGAAACUGUUUAACUUGAGUGCAAGAGGGGAGAGUGGAAUUCCAUGUGUAGCGGUGAAAUGCGUAGAUAUACGGAGGAACACCGGUGGCGAAAGCGGCUCUCUGGCUUGUAACUGACGCUGAGGCUCGAAAGCGUGGGGAGCAAACAGGAUUAGAUACCCCUGUAGUCCCUGUCUCUUAUACA
rnacentral:rRNA from 1 species